UACGUAGGGUGCAAGCGUUAAUCGGAAUUACUGGGCGUAAAGCGUGCGCAGGCGGCUUUGCAAGACAGAUGUGAAAUCCCCGGGCUUAACUUGGGAACUGCAUUUGUGACUGCAAGGCUAGAGUACGGCAGAGGGGGAUGGAAUUCCGCGUGUAGCAGUGAAAUGCGUAGAUAUGCGGAGGAACACCAAUGGCGAAGGCAAUCCCCUGGGCCUGUACUGACGCUCAUGCACGAAAGCGUGGGGAGCAAACAGG
rnacentral:rRNA from 1 species